rnacentral:piRNA from 1 species
UAGUUUAGGAUGGCCUCGGAUUA